UGGGUGAUUUGCCCUGCACUUUGGGAUAAGCCUGGGAAACUGGGUCUGAUACCGAAUACACCCUGCUGGUCGCAUGGCCUGGUGGGGGAAAGCUUUUGCGGUGUGGGAUGGGCCCGCGGCCUAUCAGCUUGUUGGUGAGGUAAUGGCUCACCAAGGCGACGACGGGUAGCCGGCCUGAGAGGGCGAUCGGCCACACGUGGGACUGAGACACGGUCCAGACUCCGUACGGGA
rnacentral:rRNA from 1 species